rnacentral:rRNA from 1 species
UUUUAUGAGAGUUUGAUCCUGGCUCAGGACGAACGCUGGCGGCGUGCCUAAUACAUGCAAGUCGAACGCUUCUUUUUCCACCGGAGCUUGCUCCACCGGAAAAAGAGGAGUGGCGAACGGGUGAGUAACACGUGGGUAACCUGCCCAUCAGAAGGGGAUAACACUUGGAAACAGGUGCUAAUACCGUAUAACAAUCGAAGCCGCAUGGUUUUGAUUUGAAAGGCGCGUUCGGGUUUCGCUGAUGGAUGGACCCGCGGUGCAUUAGCUAGUUGGUGAGGUAACGGCUCACCAAGGCCACGAUGCAUAGCCGACCUGAGAGGGUGAUCGGCCACAUUGGGACUGAGACACGGCCCAAACUCCUACGG